CAUGUGAUUAAAUACUUGUAUUUUUUCAUAUGUUCCUCCUAUUUAAAAACAUGCAUUAGUGCUUUUAAACGAGUGUUAUUGUGGGCCGGUACUAUUACUUUGAACAAAUUAGAGUGCUUAAAGCAGGCUUCAAAUGCCUGAAUAUUCUGUGCAUGGGAUAAUGAAAUAAGACCUCUGUUCUGCUUUCAUUGGUUUUCAGAUCAAGAGGUAAUGAUUAAUAGAAGCAGUUUGGGGGCAUUAGUAUUACGACGCGAGAGGUGAAAUUCUUGGACCGUCAUAAGACUAACUUAAGCGAAAGCAUUUGCCAAAGAUGUUUUCAUUAAUCAAGAACGAAAGUUAGAGGUUCGAAGGCGAUCAGAUACCGCCCUAGUUCUAACCAUAAACGAUGCCAGCUAGCAAUUGGGUGUAGCUACUUUUAUGGCUCUCUCAGUCGCUUCCCGGGAAACCAAAGCUUUUGGGCUCCGGGGGAAGUAUGGUUGCAAAGCUGAAACUUAAAGGAAUUGACGGAAGGGCACCACAAGGAGUGGAGCCUGCGGCUUAAUUUGACUCAACAGGUCCGAACAUAAGUGUGUAAGACAGAUUGAUAGCUCUUUCUCGAAUCUAUGGGUGGUGGUGCAUGGCCGUUCUUAGUUCGUGGAGUGAUUUGUCUGGUUAAUUCCGAUAACGAACGAGACUCAAAUAUAUUAAAUAGAUAUCUUCAGGAUUAUGGUGCUGAAGCUUAUAUAGCCUUCAUUCAUGGUGGCAGUAAAAUGUUUAUUGUGUUUGAAUGUGUUUAUGUAAGUGGAGCCGUACCUGUUGGUUUGUCCCAUUAUAAGGACACUAGCUUCUUAAAUGGACAAAUUGCGUCUAGCAAUAAUGAGAUUGAGCAAUAACAGGUCUGUGAUGCCCUUAGAUGUCCUGGGCUGCACGUGCGCUACAAUGAAAGUAUCAACGUGUAUUUCCUAGACCGAGAGGUCCGGGUAAACCGCUGAACCACUUUCAUGCUUGGGAUUGUGAACUGAAACUGUUCACAUGAACUUGGAAUUCCCAGUAAGUGUGAGUCAUUAACUCGCAUUGAUUACGUCCCUGCCCUUUGUACAUACCGCCCGUCGCUACU
rnacentral:rRNA from 1 species